UACGGAGGGUGCAAGCGUUGCUCGGAAUUAUUGGGCGUAAAGGGUAGGUAGGUGGUCUCAUUUGUCUGGGGUGAAAGCCUUGAGCUUAACUCAAGAAGUGCCUCAGAAACGGUGAGACUAGAGUUCUGGAGAGGGUCGUGGAAUUCCCGGUGUAGCGGUGAAAUGCGCAGAUAUCAGGAGGAACACCGGUGGCGAAGGCGGCCAACUGGACGGUGACUGACGCUGAGACGCGAAAGCGUGGGGAGCAAACAGG
rnacentral:rRNA from 1 species